UACGAAGGGGGCUAGCGUUGUUCGGAAUCACUGGGCGUAAAGGGCGCGUAGGCGGCUUUGUAAGUCGGGGGGUGAAAGCCUGUGGCUCAACCACAGAAUUGCCUUCGAUACUGCAUGGCUUGAGACCGGAAGAGGUAAGUGGAACUGCGAGUGUAGAGGUGAAAUUCGUAGAUAUUCGCAAGAACACCAGUGGCGAAGGCGGCUUACUGGUCCGGUUCUGACGCUGAGGCGCGAAAGCGUGGGGAGCGAACAGG
rnacentral:rRNA from 1 species